AAACAGCCCCUUAUGUUUUGAUUCUUUGGUAGUUUUGGACCCCCAAGACAAAAUAAAAAAUAAAAAAUAUGACACGUGGCACCUCACUUAGGGUGUCACGUCAGCGUUGAUCAAGUCAACAAUGGACUAGGGGUCCAAAAUUGCCAAAAAAAUCAAAACAUAUGGGGCUGUUU
rnacentral:pre_miRNA from 1 species